rnacentral:rRNA from 1 species
GACGUAGGGGGCGAGCGUUGUCCGGAUUUAUUGGGCGUAAAGCGCGCGUAGGCGGCUGCGCAAGUCGGUUGUGAAGCCCCGGGGCUCAACCCCGGAACUGCAUCCGAUACUGCGUGGCUAGAGGUAGGUAGGGGAGAUCGGAAUUCCUGGUGUAGCGGUGAAAUGCGCAGAUAUCUGGAGGAACACCGGUGGCGAAGGCGGCAUUCUGGACCGACAUUGACGCUGAGGAGCGAAAGCCAGGGGAGCAAACGGG